GAUUUUGCAGGAAAUAAGCGAGAAUACAGAGAAGGGAUGUAUUCUGCAUUUGGGAAAGAGGAUUGGAUACGCACAAGAUGAUCUAAAGAACUCAGCGAAGCGUUUGAACACUA